CCUACGGGUGGCUGCAGUGGGGAAUAUUGGACAAUGGGCGAAAGCCUGAUCCAGCCAUGCCGCGUGUGUGAAGAAGGCCUUCGGGUUGUAAAGCACUUUCAGUGGGGAAGAAAGCCUUGGGGCUAAUACCCUCGAGGAAGGACAUUACCCACAGAAGAAGCACCGGCUAACUCCGUGCCAGCAGCCGCGGUAAUACGGAGGGUGCGAGCGUUAAUCGGAAUUACUGGGCGUAAAGCGCGCGUAGGCGGUCUGAUAAGCCGGUUGUGAAAGCCCCGGGCUCAACCUGGGAACGGCAUCCGGAACUGUCAGGCUAGAGUGCAGGAGAGGAAGGUAGAAUUCCCGGUGUAGCAGUGAAAUGCGUAGAGAUCGGGAGGAAUACCAGUGGCGAAGGCGGCCUUCUGGACUGACACUGACGCUGAGGUGCGAAAGCGUGGGUAGCAAACAGGAUUAGAUACCCCUGUAGUC
rnacentral:rRNA from 1 species